AUUUUUAUUUGAUUUAGUAUUGUAUUUUUUCACUCAGAUUUUCAAAACUUGUAAAGAACCAUAACAAUGAUGCCUAGGUCUUCUUUCUGUGUUGUUUUAUUCAAUUUGAUGAUUUUUCCCAUCACAGACUGACAACAGACACUAUUUUCAGAAUGCAGCAUGAAUGGUCUAAAGAAGAAAAAAAAGUUGAAAAAGUUGACAAGUCUAUAUAUCGCUAUCACUGAUGCUGCCUCAAAGUCAAAUAAAAGUUUAACCAAAAUGGAUUUUAUGCAACUUAUUGGAAGAUUAAUUAGGCAUUCUUCUGACUGAUUCAAGAGAAAAUCCUCCAUUAUCGAUAUCGAUCAACGAUGGCUUAAUUAACUUCAAUCAACUGUUGUGUUUUUAUUUAUUUUGCAUUUUACAGUAAUUUUCUGUUUACUUAUAAUAUAUUAUAGAUUAUACUUUAC